rnacentral:tRNA from 1 species
UAGCUCAGUGGUAGAGCACUUGCCUUGCAUGCCAGAGGCCCUGGGUUCGAUUCCUCAG